rnacentral:rRNA from 1 species
GUGGGGAAUCUUGCGCAAUGGGCGAAAGCCUGAUCCAGCCAUGCCGCGUGAGUGAUGAAGGCCCUAGGGUUGUAAAGCUCUUUCACCGAUGAAGAUAAUGACGGUAGUCGGAGAAGAAGCCCCGGCUAACUUCGUGCCAGCAGCCGCGGUAAUACGAAGGGGGCUAGCGUUGUUCGGAAUUACUGGGCGUAAAGCGCACGUAGGCGGAUAUUUAAGUCAGGGGUGAAAUCCCAGAGCUCAACUCUGGAACUGCCUUUGAUACUGGGUAUCUCGAGUAUGGAAGAGGUGAGUGGAAUUCCGAGUGUAGAGGUGAAAUUCGUAGAUAUUCGGAGGAACACCAGUGGCGAAGGCGGCUCACUGGUCCAUUACUGACGCUGAGGUGCGAAAGCGUGGGGAGCAAACAGGAUUAGAAACCCUAGUAGUCC